ACUCUAAGCGGUGGAUCACUCGGCUCAUGGUCGAUGAAGAACGCAGCAAACUGUGCGUCAUCGUGUGAACUGCAGGACACAUGAACAUCGACAUUUUGAACGCAUAUCGCAGUCCAUGCUGUUUGGUACUUUAAUUAAUUUUAUAGUGCUGCUUGGACUACAUAUGGUUGAGGGUUGUAAGACUAUGCUAAAUAAGUUGUUUAAAAAUUUUACGAAAUUUUUAAGCAUAUUGUAUAUUAUUGGAUAUGUAUAUAUAUAUAUAUUCAUAAUAUUGAUAUUAAAUGGAAACGCAUUAUCUCUCAUUGUUGUAUAUAUUUGUGUGAGAAGAACGAAGAAAAAUAUAUUUUUUUGUCCUUUUUGAAUCAAAUAAUACUGAGGAAUGUCUAGCAUAAAAAAAUAAUUAAAGUUUUUUCAUCUAGAAUUGCCUCUUAUUAAUGUUUCGAAAGGAAAUUUUGUUGUAAAUAUAAAUAUUUAAUAUUCUUCGUGAUAUUCGUUAUAAAAUACGAAUAUUAUAAUGAUUUCAUUAUGAGAACGCUCUAUAUAUAUAAUAAUAUAGUGUAAUUAUCAUUAUAAAUUUUAAUAUACGUAUAUACAACCUCAACUCAUAUGGGACUACCCCCUGAAUUUAAGCAUAUUAAUUAGGGAGGAAAAGAAACUAACCAGGAUUUUCUUAGUAGCGGCGAGCGAAAAGAAAUCAGUUCAGCACUAAGUCACUUUGUCUAUAUGGCAAACGUGAGAUGCAGUGUAUGGAGCGUCAAUAUUCUAGUAUGAGAAAUUAACGAUUUAAGUCCUUCUUAAAUGAGGCCAUUUACCCAUAGAGGGUGCCAGGCCCGUAUAACGUUAAUGAUUACUAGAUGAUGUUUCCAAAGAGUCGUGUUGCUUGAUAGUGCAGCACUAAGUGGGUGGUAAACUCCAUCUAAAACUAAAUAUAACCAUGAGACCGAUAGUAAACAAGUACCGUGAGGGAAAGUUGAAAAGAACUCUGAAUAGAGAGUUAAACAGUACGUGAAACUGCUUAGAGGUUAAGCCCGAUGAACCUGAAUAUCCGUUAUGGAAAAUUCAUCAUUAAAGUUGUAAUAUUUUAACAAUAUUAUAAUAAUAGUGUGCAUUUUUUCCAUAUAAGGACAUUGUAAUCUAUUAGCAUAUAACAAAUUUAUCAUAAAAUAUGACUUAUAGUUUAUUCAAAUUAUUAUGCUUGCAUUUUAACAUAGAAUAAAUGUCAUUAAUUUGAUAAAGUGUUGAUAAAUUAAAAUUAAUACAGUGCGUUAAUUUUUCGAAAUUAUAUAAUGGCAUAAUUAUCAUUGAUUUUUGUGUUUAUUAUAUGCAUUUGUAUGAUUAACAAUGCGAAAGAUUCAGGAUACCUUCGGGACCCGUCUUGAAACACGGACCAAGGAGUCUAACAUAUGUGCAAGUUAUUGGAGAUAAACCUAAUAGCGUAAUUAACUUGACUAAUAAUGGGAUUAGUUUUUUAACUAUUUAUAGAUAAUUAACACAAUCCCGGGGCGUUCUAUAUAGUUAUGUAUGAUAAUAUUUAUAUUAUUUAUGCUCUAACUGGAACGUACCUUGAGCAUAUAUGCUGUGACCCGAAAGAUGGUGAACUAUACUUGAUCAGGUUGAAGUCAGGGGAAACCCUGAUGGAAGACCGAAACAGUUCUGACGUGCAAAUCGAUUGUCAGAAUUGAGUAUAGGGCGAAAGACCAAUCGAACCAUCUAGUAGCUGGUUCCUUCCGAAGUUUCCCUCAGGAUAGCUGGUGCAUUUUAAUGUUAUAUAAAAUAAUCUUAUCUGGUAAAGCGAAUGAUUAGAGGCCUUAGGGUCGAAACGAUCUUAACUAUUCUCAAACUUUAAAUGGGUAAGAACCUUAACUUUCUUGAUAUGAAGUUUAAGGUUAUGAUAUAAUGUGCCCAGUGGGCCACUUUUGGUAAGCAGAACUGGCGCUGUGGGAUGAACCAAACGUAAUGUUACGGUGCCCAAAUUAACAACUCAUGCAGAAACCAUGAAAGGCGUUGGUUGCUUAAAACAGCAGGACGGUGAUCAUGGAAGUCGAAAUCCGCUAAGGAGUGUGUAACAACUCACCUGCCGAAGCAACUAGCCCUUAAAAUGGAUGGCGCUUAAGUUGUAUACCUAUACAUUACCGCUAAAGUAGAUGAUUUAUAUUACUUGUGAUAUAAAUUUUGAAAAUUUAGUGAGUAGGAAGGUACAAUGGUAUGCGUAGAAGUGUUUGGCGUAAGCCUUCAUGGAGCUGCCAUUGGCACAGAUCUUGGUGGUAGUAGCAAAUAAUCGAAUGAGACCUUGGAGGACUGAAGUGGAGAAGGGUUUCGUGUGAACAGUGGUUGAUCACGAGUUAGUCGGUCCUAAGUUCAAGGCGAAAGCCGAAAUUUUCAAGUAAAAAAUCAGUGAGUAAUAUUGUCAAAUCUUUUAUGAUUUUUAAAUACUUGAAUAAUUUUGAACGAAAGGGAAUACGGUUCCAAUUCCGUAACCUGUUGAGUAUCCGUUUGUUAUUAAAUAUGGGCCUCGUGCUCAUCCUGGCAACAGGAACGACCAUAAAGAAGCCGUCGAGAGAUAUCGGAAGAGUUUUCUUUUCUGUUUUAUAGCCGUACUACCAUGGAAGUCUUUCGCAGAGAGAUAUGGUAGAUGGGCUAGAAGAGCAUGACAUAUACUGUUGUGUCGAUAUUUUCUCCUCGGACCUUGAAAAUUUAUGGUGGGGACACGCAAACUUCUCAACAGGCCGUACCAAUAUCCGCAGCUGGUCUCCAAGGUGAAGAGUCUCUAGUCGAUAGAAUAAUGUAGGUAAGGGAAGUCGG
rnacentral:rRNA from 1 species